AUUGAACGCUGGCGGAAUGCUUUACACAUGCAAGUCGAACGGUAGAGGGGGCAACCCCUCGAGAGUGGCGAACGGGUGAGUAAUAUAUCGGAACGUGCCCAGUCGUGGGGGAUAACGUAGCGAAAGUUACGCUAAUACCGCAUACGAUCUAAGGAUGAAAGAGGGGGGUCGCACGACCGGGCGCGAUUGGAGCGGCCGAUAUCAGAUUAGGUAGUUGGUGGGGUAAAGGCUCACAAAGCCAACGAUCUGUAGCUGGUUUGAGAGGACGACCAGCCACACUGGAACUGAGACACGGUCCAGACUCCUACGGGAGGCAGCAGUGGGGAAUUUUGGACAAUGGACGCAAGUCUGAUCCAGCCAUUCCGCGUGCAGGAUGAAGGCCCUCGGGUUGUAAACUGCUUUUGUACGGAACGAAAAGGUCUCUCUUAAUACGGGGGACUCAUGACGGUACCGUAAGAAUAAGCACCGGCUAACUACGUGCCAGCCGCCGCGGUAA
rnacentral:rRNA from 1 species